rnacentral:rRNA from 1 species
AUUGAACGCUGGCGGCAUGCUUUACACAUGCAAGUCGAACGGCAGCACGGGUGCUUGCACCUGGUGGCGAGUGGCGAACGGGUGAGUAAUGCACCGGAACGUACCCAGUAAUGGGGGAUAACGCACCGAAAGGUGUGCUAAUACCGCAUACGCCCUGAGGGGGAAAGCGGGGGAUCGCAAGACCUCGCGUUAUUGGAGCGGCCGAUGCCGGAUUAGCUAGUUGGUGGGGUAAAGGCCCACCAAGGCGACGAUCCGUAGCUGGUCUGAGAGGACGACCAGCCACACUGGGACUGAGACACGGCCCAGACUCCUACGGGAGGCAGCAGUGGGGAAUUUUGGACAAUGGGGGCAACCCUGAUCCAGCCAUGCCGCGUGAGUGAAGAAGGCCUUCGGGUUGUAAAGCUCUUUCGCAAGGGAAGAAAACUUAUCUACUAAUACUAGGUGAGGCUGACGGUACCUUGAUAAGAAGCACCGGCUAACUACGUGCCAGCCGCCGCGGUAA